rnacentral:rRNA from 1 species
CUUAUUUCUAGAGAUAGAAAGUUACUUCGGUACAUCGGUGACAGGUGGUGCAUGGUUGUCGUCAGCUCGUGUCGUGAGAUGUUGGGUUAAGUCCCGCAACGAGCGCAACCCCUAUUGUUAGUUGCCAUCAUUCAGUUGGGCACUCUAGCGAGACUGCCGGUAAUAAACCGGAGGAAGGUGGGGAUGACGUCAAAUCAUCAUGCCCCUUAUGACCUGGGCUACACACGUGCUACAAUGGUUGGUACAACGAGUUGCGAGUCGGUGACGGCGAGCUAAUCUCUUAAAGCCAAUCUCAGUUCGGAUUGUAGGCUGCAACUCGCCUACAUGAAGUCGGAAUCGCUAGUAAUCGCGGAUCAGCACGCCGCGGUGAAUACGUUCCCGGGCCUU